ACGGGUGAGUAAUGCGUAAGAACUUGCCUUAGAGAGGGGGAUAACCCGGGGAAACUCGGGCUAAUACCGCAUAAUGUCGAGAGACCAAAGUGGGGGACCUUCGGGCCUCACGCUCUAAGAAAGGCUUACGUCAGAUUAGCUAAUUGGUUAGGUAAAAGCUGACCAAGGCAAUGAUCUGUAGCUGGUCUGAGAGGACGAUCAGCCACACUGGGACUGAGACACGGCCCAGACUCCUACGGGAGGCAGCAGUGGGGAAUUUUGGACAAUGGGGGCAACCCUGAUCCAGCGAUGCCGCGUGAGUGAAGAAGGCCUGCGGGUUGUAAAGCUCUUUCAGUGGGGAGGAAGGCCCCGAAGUGAAUACCUUCGGGGAUUGACGUUACCCGCAAAAGAAGCACCGGCUAACUCUGUGCCAGCAGCCGCGGUAAUACAGAGGGUGCGAGCGUUAAUCGGAAUUACUGGGCGUAAAGGGCGUGUAGGUGGUUAUGCAAGUUUGAUGUGAAAGCCCCGGGCUUAACCUGGGAACUGCGUUGAAAACUGCAAGACUAGAGUUGGACAGAGGGUGGUGGAAUUUCCGGUG
rnacentral:rRNA from 1 species